AACGAACGCUGGCGGCAGGCUUAACACAUGCAAGUCGAGCGCCCCGCAAGGGGAGCGGCAGACGGGUGAGUAACGCGUGGGAAUCUACCCAUCUCUACGGAAUAACGCAUGGAAACGUGUGCUAAUACCGUAUACGUCCUUCGGGAGAAAGAUUUAUCGGAGAUGGAUGAGCCCGCGUUGGAUUAGCUAGUUGGUGGGGUAAAGGCCUACCAAGGCGAAGAUCCAUAGCUGGUCUGAGAGGAUGAUCAGCCACACUGGGACUGAGACACGGCCCAGACUCCUACGGGAGGCAGCAGUGGGGAAUAUUGGACAAUGGGCGCAAGCCUGGUCCAGCCAUGCCGCGUGAGUGAUGAAGGCCCUAGGGUUGUAAAGCUCUUUCACCGGUGAAGACAAUGACGGUAACCGGAGAAGAAGCCCCGGCUAACUUCGUGCCAGCCGCCGCGGUAACAC
rnacentral:rRNA from 1 species